ACAUAUCAAUUUGAUCACAAAUCCAUCAAUUCAUGUUGAAAAAAAUAAGAAAAUGAGAAACCCGUUGGUUUACCCGAAAUCCCGUUGGUUUACCCGAAACCCGUUAGUAUACCCGAUGGAUAUUUACCUGUUAGAAACUUGACAGAUUUUGGAACGGGUUUGAGACAAGGAUAUCUAACCGGGCUUGAGUUUGGGAUUAUCUAAACUCGUCCCAAACCCAAUCCAUUGCCAUCCCUACCUCGGUUACCCACUUUUCCCCAAAUCUCUUUGAUUUGAAAUUAGGUUUUUAGUGAUUGAUCAAUCCAUUAGCGGCAAUUUCGUAAGCAAAAUUUUUUACUUUCCCUCUCUUGCUCUCAAGCCCACAUAGCAGUAAGAACAACGGAAAUUACUUUAAAAAAUUUAGUUUCCCUCUCCACUCUCCAACCGCCAUAACUCAAUUCUACCAUUACCAUCAAUUACCUAAUAUGCCAGUGAUUGCGUGUGAUAUUAUCACUAGAAGGAUUCAUUAGCCGGUGAUGAAAAGUGGUUCUAUCAGUCAAUCGCCCGUUGCAAGUGUUUCGAUCAGAGCUUCAGUCCACCUUCAACCCUAGAUCUAGUUCAAAUGUAUUAUGAGUUUUAUACUGGUUGCAGAGUUCUGAGAUGAGGUUCUACCAAAGAAAAGAGGUUGGGAAUUAGUGACACUCGGAUAUUGUUUCCCGUCUUCUGGUGAACUUGGAGUUGCUUCUGCUUUCAUGGCUAGUAGGUAUACACUCGUGUCAUUCCUUUUUGAUAGCUCUGAUUCGUCAUAGUCAUACGCCGAGAGAUCGAUUCCCGUUCCUAGUGUUUGUCGAAACCUCUGGCCCAAACCUUGUUGGAAGUUUAGGGUUACUGGCGAAAUCGAGUCUUCUUUAAUGGAAGUUAGGUUACAGUUAUCUCCUUCUUUAGCAAAGAAAUAGAGGGUUAUGCUGCAAGCAACAGUGGCAUCAAAAGUGAAAGAAACAAUAAACUUUCCAGGGUUUUCUUCAUCAGCUUCAAUCUUUAAAGUCUUUUUUUAAGGUUAACAUCAUUCCAAAUAGUCACAGCUUUUGAUGAUCAACAUAAGGUAUGGUGUGGCGGCGGUGAAUACAUACUGGUUGGUUAUGUCUGGCUGCGGCGGCGGUGGCUGCGGUAGCAAUUUAAGUUUUACCUAUUAUGGUUAUUUCAGACUCAGUAGGUAAAUAACUUAUUUAUGCUUUAACAUGUUAAUGGUUUAAAUAUGAAACUAGAUUGUUUGGAAACUGAUGAAGAUCAAGGGGAUAUUAUGAGAUCUCAAGAUGAGGCUGAUCAAGACAGAGUAUGAAGACAUGGAACAUAUGACAAUUGCAAAUAAGGAAAAUUAUAUAGAAAAAAACGAUAUCAGUGGUAGAGGCGUUACAAAUACAUUAGUGAAAAAGGUAGAUGGUGCUUGCACAUCAUCAUACAUGAUUCCGGAAGGGCUGAUGGAAUCAUUUAAAGCAACCACUUGCUGGAAAUGCGUAAUGAGAUUGAAGAGGAUCAUGAAAGAAAAAAGGCUGAGCUGGAAGCUAUGCAAAAAGACAUUGACAACCAACGACAAAACUUGGAAGCUUUGAUGCAGCAAGUUAUGAAACGACUGCCUGUUGGAGAUCGAGAUGAGUAGAAUGUUUCCAUUUCUUUUUAUUAUUGUAUUGAAACUUUGUGUUGACCACAUUGUUAUUUAAGUUUGAACAAGUAUGUUAAAGUACACUAUUUCUCUAUCAAUGAUAUUUGUCAUUAUUUGUUA